CAAACUUAGCUUGUUGCUUGUCCUCAAGUAACAUUUUAUUACCAUCAAAGAUCAUGUCACCCCAAACUUACUGUAAAACAGUUCUUACCACAAUACUGCUGAAAUUUUUCGCACUGGACCUCUUGAUGUUUUUCAGGUUUUCUGAUUCUUCCACAUAGCCAACGAGCUAGAAACUCUUUCCCUCAGAAAUAUGACUUUACCUGUCAGCUUAUAUCACACUCUCACCAAGUCUCUCUGGGUUAAAGUGUUAUCACUCUCAAAUCACAAUAUGCAAUAUCAAAUCAGCAGUUUGAAUAAAUUCUCUCAUCCUAUCAACAUGUACAAUCACACACACUUUUUGAGGUCUUUUAGGGUUGUAACGGGGCUUGGGUUUAGGUAGGCUAUGAAAGUUGAACCUAGGGUUUUUUUUUUU
rnacentral:lncRNA from 1 species